GCCCUAGUAGCUCAGCCCCAGAGCGCCGGUUUUGUAAUCCGGAGGCCGAAGGUUAAACUCCUUCCUAGUGCU
rnacentral:tRNA from 1 species